AUACGGAAGGUGCAAGCGUUAAUCGGAAUUACUGGGCGUAAAGCGCGCGUAGGCGGUAAGAUAAGUCGGGUGUGAAAGCCCCGGGCUCAACCUGGGACCUGCAUCCGAUACUGGCAGGCUAGAGUCUGGUAGAGGGGGGUAGAAUUCCUGGUGUAGCGGUGAAAUGCGUAGAUAUCAGGAGGAAUACCAGUGGCGAAGGCGGCCCCCUGGACUGAGACUGACGCUGAGGUGCGAAAGCGUGGGGAGCAAACAGGAUUAGAAACCCUAGUAGUCC
rnacentral:rRNA from 1 species